GCCAGUGUAGUGUAGUGGUUUGUGUGUUGGAUUAUGACUCUGAAGACCAGGCUUCGAUUCCCUGCUCAACCA